rnacentral:misc_RNA from 1 species
AUGGAGUUUUGGUGCCAAAGUGCAACCAAUUCAAGUAUUUAGAUUCUAUCAUCUAGAAGAAUGGAGUAAUAGACGAGAAUAUAACUCAUAGGAUCAAAAUAGAAUGGAUAAAAUGGAGGAGUUUGACGGGUGUGCUAAGCAACUAUAGGAUCCCUUACAAAGUGAAAGGUAAGUCCUAUAGAAUUGUGGUUAGGUCAGCUAUGUGCACAAAAUGAGUGUGACAGAAAUGUAGAUGUUAUAAUGGAUGUAUAGUAUUGUGAUAAUUGAUAAGAUUAGGAAUGACCAUAUCUAUCAUAGAAUGCAUGUGGUACACAUUGCGGAUAAAAUGAUAGAGUCAAUUAAGAUGGUUUGGUAAUAUCCAACGUAGAGGUAGAGCAUUGAAUGCAGAAGUACAAAAGCAUGAUUAAUAAGUUAGUGGUGGAAGGAGUUAGAAACAGAAAGGGGCAGACCUAAAAUAAUGUGGAGGGAAGUAGUAUCAAAA